rnacentral:rRNA from 1 species
AUGUUGGGGGUGUUCAGCGGCGAGGUGGUGGAGGUGCCGGCGGAGCUGGUGGCGGCCGGGAGCCGGACGCCGUCGCCCAAGACGCGGGCGUCGGAGCUGGUGAAGCGCUUCCUCGCCGGCGCCGAGCCCGCCGUGUCCGUGGAGCUGGGAUCGCUGGGCAACCUCGCCUACUCCCACGCCAACCAGUCCCUCCUCCUCCCAAGGUCUUUCGCUGCAAAGGAUGAGAUCUUCUGCCUGUUCGAGGGAGUCCUGGACAACUUGGGGCGGCUGAGCCAGCAGUACGGCCUCUCCAAGGGCGGCAACGAGGUGCUCCUCGUGAUCGAGGCCUACAAGACGCUGAGGGACAGGGCCCCCUACCCCGCCAGCUUCAUGCUCUCCCAGCUCACCGGCAGCUACGCCUUCGUGCUCUUCGACAAGUCCACCUCCUCCCUCCUCGUCGCAUCCGACCCGGAGGGCAAGGUGCCGCUCUUCUGGGGAAUCACGGCCGACGGCUGCGUCGCCUUCUCCGACGACAUCGACCUGCUGAAAGGAUCUUGCGGCAAGUCACUGGCGCCUUUCCCGCAAGGUUGCUUCUACUGGAACGCUCUUGGAGGCCUCAAGUCGUACGAGAAUCCCAAGAACAAGGUCACCGCUGUGCCUGCAGAUGAGGAGGAAAUAUGUGGUGCAACCUUCAUGGUGGAAGGAUCUACCGUUGUCGCGGCACUUCAGUAG